CGGGGCGUGGCGCAGUUUGGUAGCGUGUCCGUCUGGGGGACGGAAGGUCGCUGGUUCAAAUCCAGUCGCCCCGACCA
rnacentral:tRNA from 1 species